UACGUAGGGUGCAAGCGUUAAUCGGAAUUACUGGGCGUAAAGCGUGCGCAGGCGGUUUGUUAAGUCAGAUGUGAAAUCCCCGGGCUCAACCUGGGAAUGGCAUUUGAGACUGGCAGGCUAGAGUGUGUCAGAGGGGGGUAGAAUUCCACGUGUAGCAGUGAAAUGCGUAGAGAUGUGGAGGAACACCGAUGGCGAAGGCAGCCCCCUGGGAUAACACUGACGCUCAUGCACGAAAGCGUGGGGAGCAAACAGG
rnacentral:rRNA from 1 species